AGAAGAUGGGCGAGAUAAUAACUGGACCGACUCUUGGAGAGAGAGAGACGCGCGUUGGAGCUCACGCUGAGCUCUUCUUCAGACAGAGCCAGCGUGGGACCCACCCAGCCCGGGGCAGCGUGUGCUCCUAAAAGCUUUGUGUCGCGGUGUCCUUUCCCACCCGUGGACUUCACCCGGUUAUUUGCUCCUUCCCCCAUCCGGGGCUAGAGUGACCUUCCUAAUCUCUCCUCUUUCUGUGCGGUCAGAAGUAACGCCGUUUACAAAGGAGGAGAUCUCAGCUCCCAAUCCCCGGCUGGAUCCAGACAAAAAGGGCCCCGGUACUAACUCAGCUACCCCUGAAGCUGUUGGACAUGAGGCAUUUCCACUGAUAUUUGCACCUCACCGCUACAAUUGUUUAGUAGAUGUAACAUAGGGGAGCCAUUUUAGAACUUCUCCGUGUACAAAAGACAGGCCGAGAGGGACUGCAGUAGAAGCCUCUGGACCAGAGCAUGAAGAUGAAGAGGACUUCUUACAAGCUCUGGGUAAAGAAGAUGAUCCCAAGUAACUAUGGCAAUGAGGCUCACACAUGCCUGGAGUAAAGAAACCUCACAGUGCCUAACAGGAAUGAUUUUUCACAGCUGGAUGUUUAUGUGAGGACAUCAAUUUCAUUUGGCAGGCCAGUGGACAAUGUUUUAGGACCAGGUGAAGCCUAUGUCCUGAUGCUGGUCAUACAGGAGAAAUAAUCUGAGGGUGUCCAAAUUUCCAGGUAGCAUGACUAGUACCUUAAAUGUGUGCUAGACACAGAUGCUGAGAGCAGACUAAAUUUUAUGUCCUGACUCAGUCAUCUGACCGGGAUCAAGGUUCCAAAAAUCACCUCUGUCACAAGACCAUUGUUAUUAUCCACUGACUCCUCAGGCUAUGUUGCCCCUGGCAGUGGCAUCGUGCUUCUGCGUGAGAGUUUUAAAGCCUAGCCUCUCGCAUAUACCAAUCAUGGUACAAACUAAGCAAGGGUAUUACCACUUUGGCUUUGUAGUUAUUUGUGGACACAAAUGGAGGCUGCCCGCCACACUGCAUCCAAACCAAACAAAAAAAAUUCCAAUAAAUCCCUUCCACACAUAGUUGUGGACAUAAAAUGAGGUCCACAUUCAAAAGACUUCACAUCCUUUUUGGAAGAGCCCUACACAAUAGGCAAGAGAAGGAGAAACUGAGGCAGAAAUUAAGUGUGAAUUAUCUAAAGACACAGAGAGAGUCACAGUAUGAGACUUAGAAUUCAAGAGUCUUUAAUUAACAGCAGCUCUGUGAUCAAUCCCCUGCAUGUGACCUCUCUUCAAAAACUCCUGCGCAGCUCUUUGGGGCAGGAACUGUGUGUGGGGGAGGAUGAGGGGGAAGGGUUGUCCUGUUGUGACAGAGUGCAGGGCAUUAACAGGUGAUCCUGUACUCGGAUCAUUCUGACACCAAUUAGUUCCCUUCCAUCCUCAAGAAAGCUGACUGGGAAUUAAUUAUCUAGUCAGGUGGCUGUGUGAGCUACAGAGCCAAUUAGCCCAUCAGCUCAAGACUGAUCAGAAAGGCACAGAAAGGAAACGCAGGAGAUUGGAGCAGGGUUAGCUGAGUCCAGAGCCAGAGACCUCUUCUUCUCUUGGGCCCUGGGAAAAGGAUUGAGGAGACAAAGGACAUUGUAAAUGAUAUUGCUGUUUGUGGAGAGAACUGAAAGUAACAGCAUGGUACAGACUGGAGAUCAUUUUCUAUGGAGCAAUUUUCUAUGGUUCAAGAUGCAGUCCACUCCUGCCUUCUUGCACCAUGCUUUGUGUCCCAGGUCAGCCCUGGCGUUGCUAGGCACUACUGCAGUCAAAACAACACAUACCAUAACAUCUUGAGUAUAAUGCGUAAUGCACACCCUGACGUUUGAAUCUGAGCAUAAUGAAAAAAACUGAACUCCUAUAUAUAAUGCGCACCCCAUUGUACAUCGCGCUUACCUCAGACAUUUUUCUUUAAAAAAGCCAGGAGCCAACCCACCAGCCCCAGCCCCAGCCUCGCCCGCUUCCCAGAGGCGGCCCUGGGCUGCCAGAGAGCAGUAAGGAGGGACCCCUGCUCCCACCUGCAGGAUCACCCGGGAAACAUGCACGCAGCCGGGGGGGCCAGCAGCGGAGUUUGAAACCUGCCCCCCACCCUCCCAGACAGCUGCCCGUGCUCCAUGCCAAGCUCGCGCCUGCCACUGGGACCCCCAGGCGCAGCCUGAAGGAGCACCAGGCAGGCAGUGAGCCAGGGCACUGCAGCCUGGUGGAAACGCUGGCUCCUUGCCUUGUCUGGGAGCCUGGCGGGGCAGCAGGUGGGAAAUUUUCUGUGUGGAGGGGAGGGGAAGUUCCCCAGCCUGGUGCUACUUACAGAUUCGUCGGCUUCUGCCAAAAUAAAACUUUAAAAUAUAGCUCCUAUUUAUAAUGUGCACCCCGACUUUGAGGCUAAAUAACCUGGGGGAAAACUGCGCAUUAUACUCGAGAUUUUACGGUAGUUCUGGACUGACAAAGCUCUCUCGCCUAUCAGUGCGGAGCUGUAUAGUGAAAUAGUACUGAAUCAUCCUGACAUGUGGAGUAUGGAGACCUGGGAAAAGCACAAAGCUUUAACAGUGUAAGUGAAAUCAAAAGCCCUGAUUUUUCUAAGUUUUACUGCAGGAGGAAGACAGGCUUAUGGUUGGGCAAGACUGAGUUCUGAAAGAAAAAACACCACAAACAGAGCAGGUGUUGUAUGAACUAUCUCUAACCAGGAUCAACCAAGAUAUUUGCAAAAAUUGACAGUUACAGAAAGUUCAUCCACUUUCUUACUCCAAGUUGCCCUCUGCCUUUCCUGAUAUGUUUAAUUGUGCCUCUUAUUAGGAUCAUAUUAAGGGUAUGUGGUGCCAUAAUGAUUUAAAGGCUCCUACAUGUCAUGAUAAAAUAUUGAGAGCUUCAGAUACUGCCAUGUGAAAUAAAAGCACCAUUGACCUCCCAUUUGUUCUAUAAAUGCUGGAAACACUAUGAAAGUUUUCAGAAAGAUAAAUUGGCAUGUGGUACAGGAAUACUUUACGCAGGUUUUUUUUUACUGUAACUCGGCAAAAAAGUGUAAAAAGUUCAGAGGAGUAAAUAGUCUGGUACUAUACUAGAAAUAGGAAACUUCUAGCAAGAAUUGCUGUAGUACACUAUCCUAAUUAAAAUUAGCUUGUGAACUCAUGUAAGAUUGUGAUCUAUGAAUUAAAAUGUAUUUUAGAAACCAUUCAUUUUCUGGAAAGUACACUUUUUCCUAAAGAAGAGUCACCACUGCCAUGAGUAAUGAUUUUAUUAAGAGUCUUAUAAGGUUUGGGGUCUUUCUUAAAGCUCCAGCUCCUGGAGACAUGUGAUUAGUUCAGAAUUUCAGCUUUCCAAAAA